UGGGGAAUAUUGCACAAUGGGGGGAAACCCUGAUGCAGCAACGCCGCGUGAAGGAAGACGGUUUUCGGAUUGUAAACUUCUGUUCUUAGUGAAGAAUAAUGACGGUAGCUAAGGAGCAAGCCACGGCUAACUACGUGCCAGCAGCCGCGGUAAUACGUAGGUGGCAAGCGUUGUCCGGAAUUACUGGGUGUAAAGGGAGCGUAGGCGGGAUGCCAAGUCAGCUGUGAAAACUAUGGGCUUAACCUGUAGACUGCAGUUGAAACUGGUAUUCUU
rnacentral:rRNA from 1 species